GAUGAACGCUGGCGGCGUGCUUAACACAUGCAAGUCGAACGGGAAACCUUUUAUUGAAGCUUCGGCAGAUUUAGCUGGUUUCUAGUGGCGGACGGGUGAGUAACGCGUGGGUAACCUGCCUUAUACAGGGGGAUAACAACCAGAAAUGGUUGCUAAUACCGCAUAAGCGCACAGGACCACAUGGUCCGGUGUGAAAAACUCCGGUGGUAUAAGAUGGACCCGCGUUGGAUUAGCUAGUUGGCAGGGUAACGGCCUACCAAGGCGACGAUCCAUAGCCGGCCUGAGAGGGUGAACGGCCACAUUGGGACUGAGACACGGCCCAGACUCCUACGGGAGGCAGCAGUGGGGAAUAUUGCACAAUGGGGGAAACCCUGAUGCAGCGACGCCGCGUGAAGGAAGAAGUAUCUCGGUAUGUAAACUUCUAUCAGCAGGGAAGAUAGUGACGGUACCUGACUAAGAAGCCCCGGCUAACUACGUG
rnacentral:rRNA from 1 species